GCAAAACGCGAAGAACCUUACCCACCUUUGACAUGGCAGGAACUUACCAGAGAUGGUUUGGUGCUCGAAAGAGAACCUGCACACAGGUGCUGCAUGGCUGUCGUCAGCUCGUGUCGUGAGAUGUUGGGUUAAGUCCCGCAACGAGCGCAACCCUUGCCAUUAGUUGCUACAUUCAGUUGAGCACUCUAAUGGGACUGCCGGUGACAAACCGGAGGAAGGUGGGGAUGACGUCAAGUCCUCAUGGCCCUUAUAGGUGGGGCUACGCACGUCAUACAAUGGCUGGUACAAAGGGUUGCCAACCCGCGAGGGGGAGCUAAUCCCAUAAAGCCAGUCGUAGUCCGGAUCGCAGUCUGCAACUCGGCUGCGUGAAGUCGGAAUCGCUAGUAAUCGUGGAUCAGAAUGUCACGGUGAAUACGUUCCCGGGUCUUGUACACACCG
rnacentral:rRNA from 1 species